GAGGGAAAAUAAAUUUUUCUUUUUCUCAAUUAACAUCCUUUUAGAUAUUUAAUUCUCAAUCAUAAUUAAUAUUCACCAACAAUCAAAGGUCAACUUUAAUUAGAGUUUUAAUUGUUCCAAUUGAAUUGUAAAUAGUUUCAAUCAAAAAUGUGUAAUUAUGUUUACGCCUUUAGGCCUACAAACACAUUUGCUUGUUCACCAAUGGAUUUGGUCAAUUUCUUGUCCUGGGUAAUUGUGUCUCCAAAAAUGGCUACCAUCGGAAGUUAAUUACAAUGGUUAUGAUGAUGAUUAAGUCUCUAUUUCUGUUACCCCUAUAGGUUAGGCCUUGGAAUCAAUAACAAUUGAAAACAAGAAGCUCUCAAUUGAUUUAAGUUAACUAAAUCAACAAUCAACUGUAAUAACCACCUUGCCACGUACCAUCAACACUAUAAUCAUCAAAUUGUAAUUGAUUGUAAACAUGAACAAGAAACAAAAACAACAACAAACAUUGUGAUGGAUCCAAUUCUUUGCGAUAUUUAAUUGCUUUGCUUUUCCAUUAUUCGGGUUUUCUUCAAUCAAAACGAUGGAUCAACAGUCACCAUUAGAGAUGAUCAACAUGCUCAUCAAAUUUAAUUUAAUUAAACAAUUGUUUCUCUUCAACUGGUCACAAUUGCUGUUGAAAGUAGAGAAGAAUCAAGAAAAUUUAUUGGCGAAAAUGUUUUUCUUUUCUUUUCCUUCAAUUUGAUUAUCAUCAUCAUCUAAAACUUUUCUUUCUCAUUUGAUUACAAUUGUGUUAUUCUAAUUGUUUUGAUGGUGAUGGUUUCUCAUUUGGUUUAUCAUGAAGAAGAAAAAAUUUUGUUUAAUUAUCUAUAUCAUAGAUAAUCAACAAAUUUAAUUGUGAAUCCUUCCUUGUUGCUUAUAUUAUAAAUCAACAACAAUCAUCCUUGACCAAAAUGGCCUGAAAAUCAACUAAUUUUACACCAAAAGUUAACUAAUUUUCCAUCACAAUUAACAAUCAUACUCACUGGAGAAAUUGCAAUUAAUAACAAAGAUGCAAAUCUAAAAGCCUUAGGUGAAUUGUAAAUUGUAAUGAUUAAUUGUCAAUUCAGUUAAUCAUCUACGAAAACGACUGAAACAAUUGAAAAAAUUAACUUAAUUGAUUUUCAAAUGUUAACCUUUUUUUAAAUCAUCAAGGUAAACAUAAUACAAAAAAAAAUCAUCACUUAUUAUAAAAUAUUGAUUACAAAUUAUUGAAUCUACAGUUAAUUGUAAUUGGUAAUUUGAUUAAGUGUGGAUAUAAACAAUCAGAUUACGUGAUUGAUUAACGAUUCAUGAUCACGUCAAUCAAACACCAACGAAAUCAAAUCAACUAAUUAACUUAGAGAGAGAUUAAAACAACAACAAUAACAAGAAAAAAAUUAGUUAAUUCUCAUUAAAAGAAAAACAAAUAAUCAAUUGUAAUAUUAAUUAACUUGAGUGUUGCCUUUCAACUAAUUACAAUUUAUAGUUGAUUAAAUAAUCAUAUGCACCCAAACAACAAUCAAAUUGUUAUGGUAUUAAAAACAUUACAAAUAAUUAACCAAAAAAAAAACAAUCAAAACUAAUUAUUUAAUCAUUGAAAUCGUAAUUUGUCUUGAUUGUUGUUGAUUUUGUUGAUUUUUGCCACAUUCCAAUUUGUUAAUUGUUAAUCAAAUCAAAGGUUAACAACUCAAUCAACAUAUUAAUGAUUCCCUUUGAUUAACAGUUUUGGAAAAUCUAAUAUUUAAUCAACAAUAAUUAAUCAUCAGUCCUCAUCUGAACAUUGCUAAUUGUUAAUUAUCCUGAAAAUUUGGCCAACAAUUAAGUCAAUCGUUACCAAUGAAUAAAUAAUUUUUCUUAGAUUAAAAGAUAAUUUAAAUUAAUUCAAUUAUCUGAUUAAGAUUAAUUGAUGAUAAACCACAAAAGUAACAAUCAAAAAUGUUUAAUCAAUUAACAAACCAUUAAUCAAGUAUCAUAGCCACUAUUUGAUUGUUCACAAUUAGUUAAUCACUUGGUCCAUGGUUGAUGAUACAUUGGAUACACUUUAUUACCAUUAACAAUCAAAUUUAACUACAAAUGUAAAUGUAAUUGUGAUUAAAGGGAGAAACAAUUAAAUGAAUUUUUUUC